AUUGAACGCUGGCGGCAGGCUUAACACAUGCAAGUCGAGCGGGGUGAUGGUGCUUGCACUAUCACUUAGCGGCGGACGGGUGAGUAAUGCUUAGGAAUCUGCCUAUUAGUGGGGGACAACAUCUCGAAAGGGAUGCUAAUACCGCAUACGUCCUACGGGAGAAAGCAGGGGAUCACUUGUGACCUUGCGCUAAUAGAUGAGCCUAAGUCGGAUUAGCUAGUUGGUGGGGUAAAGGCCUACCAAGGCGACGAUCUGUAGCGGGUCUGAGAGGAUGAUCCGCCACACUGGGACUGAGACACGGCCCAGACUCCUACGGGAGGCAGCAGUGGGGAAUAUUGGACAAUGGGGGGAACCCUGAUCCAGCCAUGCCGCGUGUGUGAAGAAGGCCUUAUGGUUGUAAAGCACUUUAAGCGAGGAGGAGGCUCUUUUGGUUAAUACCCAGAAUGAGUGGACGUUACUCGCAGAAUAAGCACCGGCUAACUCUGUGCCAGCCGCCGCGGUAA
rnacentral:rRNA from 1 species